UACAGAGGGUGCGAGCGUUAAUCGGAAUUACUGGGCGUAAAGCGCGCGUAGGCGGCUUUGCAAGUCGGGUGUGAAAUCCCCAGGCUUAACCUGGGAACUGCAUUCGAGACUGCAUUGCUAGAGUACGGUAGAGGGGGAUGGAAUUCCGCGUGUAGCAGUGAAAUGCGUAGAUAUGCGGAGGAACACCGAUGGCGAAGGCAAUCCCCUGGACCUGUACUGACGCUCAUGCACGAAAGCGUGGGGAGCAAACAGG
rnacentral:rRNA from 1 species